rnacentral:lncRNA from 1 species
CGACUUAACUAAGGAGUAUAGCUAAUAUCUAUCAGAUGAGCCUACAUAAUUUAGAGACUGAAUCGUUGCAUCAUGCUUGGAGAAUCAUUGGAUAAGAGUUGUCCACUUAUCGAUGUAUCAUGUUUACUAAUAUCUAUCAAAUGAGGUGCACGUACAUCGGUGGUACUGCAACACCCACUAAGAAUCCUUAUUGUGUUAGAAUUUUUAUUUCUCCACCCAC